GGUUAAGCGACUAAGCGUACACGGUGGAUGCCCUGGCAGUCAGAGGCGAUGAAGGACGUGCUAAUCUGCGAAAAGCGCCGGCGAGGUGAUAUGAACCCUUGACCCGGCGAUGUCCGAAUGGGGAAACCCAGUGCAAUCCGUUGCACUAUCGUUAACUGAAUACAUAGGUUAACGAGGCGAACCGGGGGAACUGAAACAUCUAAGUACCCCGAGGAAAAGAAAUCAACCGAGAUUCCCCCAGUAGCGGCGAGCGAACGGGGAGCAGCCCGGAGUCUGAAUCAGCUUGUGUGUUAGUGGAACGGUCUGGAAAGUCCGACGGUACAGGGUGAUAGUCCCGUACACGAAAGCACACUUGCUGUGAACUCGAAGAGUAGGGCGGGACACGUGGUAUCCUGUCUGAAUAUGGGGGGACCAUCCUCCAAGGCUAAAUACUCCUGACUGACCGAUAGUGAACCAGUACCGUGAGGGAAAGGCGAAAAGAACCCCGGCGAGGGGAGUGAAAAAGAACCUGAAACCGUGUACGUACAAGCAGUGGGAGCCUCUUUAUGGGGUGACUGCGUACCUUUUGUAUAAUGGGUCAGCGACUUAUAUUCUGUAGCAAGGUUAACCGUAUAGGGGAGCCGCAGGGAAACCGAGUCUUAACUGGGCGUUAAGUUGCAGGGUAUAGACCCGAAACCCGGUGAUCUAGCCAUGGGCAGGUUGAAGGUUGGGUAACACUAACUGGAGGACCGAACCGACUAAUGUUGAAAAAUUAGCGGAUGACUUGUGGCUGGGGGUGAAAGGCCAAUCAAACCGGGAGAUAGCUGGUUCUCCCCGAAAGCUAUUUAGGUAGCGCCUCGUGAACUCAUCUUCGGGGGUAGAGCACUGUUUCGGCUAGGGGGUCAUCCCGACUUACCAACCCGAUGCAAACUACGAAUACCGAAGAAUGUUAUCACGGGAGACACACGGCGGGUGCUAACGUCCGUCGUGAAGAGGGAAACAACCCAGACCGCCAGCUAAGGUCCCAAAGUCAUGGUUAAGUGGGAAACGAUGUGGGAAGGCACAGACAGCCAGGAUGUUGGCUUAGAAGCAGCCAUCAUUUAAAGAAAGCGUAAUAGCUCACUGGUCGAGUCGGCCUGCGCGGAAGAUGUAACGGGGCUAAACCAUGCACCGAAGCUGCGGCAGCGACACUAUGUGUUGUUGGGUAGGGGAGCGUUCUGUAAGCCGUUGAAGGUGUGCUGUGAGGCAUGCUGGAGGUAUCAGAAGUGCGAAUGCUGACAUAAGUAACGAUAAAGCGGGUGAAAAGCCCGCUCGCCGGAAGACCAAGGGUUCCUGUCCAACGUUAAUCGGGGCAGGGUGAGUCGACCCCUAAGGCGAGGCCGAAAGGCGUAGUCGAUGGGAAACAGGUUAAUAUUCCUGUACUUGGUGUUACUGCGAAGGGGGGACGGAGAAGGCUAUGUCAGCCGGGCGACGGUUGUCCCGGUUUAAGCAUGUAGGCGGAGGUUCCAGGUAAAUCCGGUACCUUAUUAACGCUGAGGUGUGAUGACGAGGCACUACGGUGCUGAAGUGAUAAAUGCCCUGCUUCCAGGAAAAGCCUCUAAGCAUCAGGUAACACGAAAUCGUACCCCAAACCGACACAGGUGGUCAGGUAGAGAAUACCAAGGCGCUUGAGAGAACUCGGGUGAAGGAACUAGGCAAAAUGGUGCCGUAACUUCGGGAGAAGGCACGCUGAUGUGUAGGUGAAGCCCCUGCGGGUGGAGCUGAAAUCAGUCGAAGAUACCAGCUGGCUGCAACUGUUUAUUAAAAACACAGCACUGUGCAAACACGAAAGUGGACGUAUACGGUGUGACGCCUGCCCGGUGCCGGAAGGUUAAUUGAUGGGGUUAGCGGCAACGCGAAGCUCUUGAUCGAAGCCCCGGUAAACGGCGGCCGUAACUAUAACGGUCCUAAGGUAGCGAAAUUCCUUGUCGGGUAAGUUCCGACCUGCACGAAUGGCGUAAUGAUGGCCAGGCUGUCUCCACCCGAGACUCAGUGAAAUUGAACUCGCUGUGAAGAUGCAGUGUACCCGCGGCAAGACGGAAAGACCCCGUGAACCUUUACUAUAGCUUGACACUGAACACUGGUCCUUGAUGUGUAGGAUAGGUGGGAGGCUUUGAAGCGUGGACGCCAGUCUGCGUGGAGCCAACCUUGAAAUACCACCCUUUAAUGGCUGGUGUUCUAACGUAGACCCGUAAUCCGGGUUGCGGACAGUGUCUGGUGGGUAGUUUGACUGGGGCGGUCUCCUCCCAAAGAGUAACGGAGGAGCACGAAGGUUGGCUAAUCCUGGUCGGACAUCAGGAGGUUAGUGCAAUGGCAUAAGCCAGCUUGACUGCGAGCGUGACGGCGCGAGCAGGUGCGAAAGCAGGUCAUAGUGAUCCGGUGGUUCUGAAUGGAAGGGCCAUCGCUCAACGGAUAAAAGGUACUCCGGGGAUAACAGGCUGAUACCGCCCAAGAGUUCAUAUCGACGGCGGUGUUUGGCACCUCGAUGUCGGCUCAUCACAUCCUGGGGCUGAAGUAGGUCCCAAGGGUAUGGCUGUUCGCCAUUUAAAGUGGUACGCGAGCUGGGUUUAGAACGUCGUGAGACAGUUCGGUCCCUAUCUGCCGUGGGCGCUGGAGAAUUGAGGGGGGCUGCUCCUAGUACGAGAGGACCGGAGUGGACGCAUCACUGGUGUUCGGGUUGUCAUGCCAAUGGCACUGCCCGGUAGCUAAAUGCGGAAGAGAUAAGUGCUGAAAGCAUCUAAGCACGAAACUUGCCCCGAGAUGAGUUCUCCCUGAGACUUUAAGUCUCCUGAAGGAACGUUGAAGACGACGACGUUGAUAGGUCGGGUGUGUAAGCGCAGCGAUGCGUUGAGCUAACCGAUACUAAUGAACCGUGAGGCUUAACCUU
rnacentral:rRNA from 1 species